rnacentral:lncRNA from 1 species
AGUAAACAAGAAACAAAACAAAAACAAAAAACAAUAACAUUAUGAACUGGGGUAAUUUAUUAUUUAUUAAAAUAUUUGGGUCAAUAAUAUGAAUCCAUACAUCAGUGGUAAUAUUUGCAUAUAACGGGAGGGUUACAAAGGGGGUCAUUUUCAUUUUUGUGUGCACUAUCCCUUUAAAAUCUAUAAAAUGCAGUGCAAGAUGUGCAACACAUCCUCCACCAGAGGGAGACAUUACACCACAGGAGCCGUCUGGGUGUUUUGCGGGGUCACAUAGGGCACUGGAUUGAUUUACAAAUUAGUUAAAUUAACACAUUUAAGAAAACACUAAUUCAACUUUAAAAUUUUAAUUCACAAAUUCCCAACACACACACAUUCACAAAACAGCAUAAACCAAAACAAACAAAGACACGUGCAGAUUUAAUAAAGUCUACAGAAGCAAUUGACUAUAAGGUAGCUGUUUUACACAUUUUUGGACAGGAACAAGGCAUGUUUGUACAUUUAACUAUUAAAGCUGUUUUUUCUCUUCGUAGUGUGUACAUCUACAGCAAGUGAACCAGGCUGAACCAGCGGUGCUUAAAAUAAGAGAACGUGAAGCAGGAGUGACACUGUUUAAAUAGAUCAGGCUCUCCAGGACAAGGCAGAAAGAAAAACAUGCCUCUUUUGUCAAAGCCAGACAAAGCCCCACAGACCUUAAAGUGGGCAAUUCAAAAUUCUGAAGGCUGGACUUCUGCUUUCCAGCCUGUCUUCUCUGAUCUCCAGUCAUCCGAGAGGCUUCUGCCAGCCUGCGAGCUGUCAAAGUAGCCCUGGAAUCAAACGCCACUUCAUGCUCAGCUAUGAUCAAAGGAACACAGGUAAGGCAGCCACAGAGACAUACAAUUGGCAUCUAAAAAAGUAAGCCGUCUACCCUCACACCCCUCCUUCCCUCCUGCUUUUUUAUCUCUACACUGACACCAAGAGAAGAAACAUGGAGCACAUUGAUCAGAAUAAAGCAAAGUGAUCAGGUUUUGAAGAUGUGGGGGGAAGUUUGUUCUCGCCAGAAACUUUUGGACAAAGGGAAUUCUGGGAAAGAGGUGAGGGCGCAGUGUAAAGGGACACUUAAAACGCUUCACAAGUUUUUUUUUCUGCUUUGAACAAUUUUUCCUUGCUUAUAAUCCUCCAAAGAGAGAUGCCUGUCUCCAGUCAAACACAUCUUUCAUUUCUUGGCAAAAUUACCACAUACACACAUACCGUAAAAUAUAUAGUUGGGGACAGUUGUCACAAGGGAAGUAUCUCACUAACUAUAAGGAUUUGAGUCAAAGUACAAAAAGGUGUUUUUACUGGUUUUGUACUCUGGUUUCAAACACCUUGUUUUAUAAAACUUAAAAAACGUAAGAAAAAUAAUUUCUGGAAAAUGUAAAUAUGCAUAAAAUUAAUUAAUUUUUAAUGCCUUUUUUUUAAAUCAGAGAAUAAUAUCUA